rnacentral:tRNA from 1 species
GAGGGUAUAGUUCAGUGGUAGAGCACAUGAUUAUCAUGCAUGAGGUCCUGGGUUCAAUCCUCAGUACCUCCU